AGAGUUUGAUCCUAGCUCAGGAUGAACGCUGGCGGCGUGGAUAAGGCAUGCAAGUCGAACGGACUUCAUUUUUCCAGAGAUGCGAUUAUAUCAAGUCAAAGGUCGUUUGAAGUUAGUGGCGAACGAGGUAGUAAUACAUAGGAACUUCCCUCAAAGUCGUGAAUAAUUCGUCGAAAGACGGACUAAUACACGAUAGUCCCUCAGGGGUAAAGUUUUAACGCUUUGAGAAAGGCCUAUGCGAUAUCAGCUAGUUGGUAGUGUAAUGGACUACCAAGGCUAUGACGUCUAGGGGAGGUGAGAGCCUGACCCCCACCGAUGGUACUGAGACACGGACCAUACACCUACGGGUGGCUGCAGUCGAGAAUCUUCCACAAUGGACGAAAGUCUGAUGGAGCGACGCCGCGUGAUUGAUGAAGUCCCUUUGGGACGUAAAGAUCUUUUAUGAGGGAAGAAGUUUAUUGACUGUACCUCAUGAAUAAGAGGCUCCUAAUCUCGUGCCAGCAGGAGCGGUAAUACGAGAGCCUCGAGCGUUAUCCGGAAUUAUUGGGCGUAAAGGGUGUGUAGGUGGUUUUGUUAGUCUUUUGUUAAAGUCCCGAGCUUAACUUGGGGAGGGCGAAAGAUACGGCAAAACUAGAAAGUGCGAGAGGUGUACGGAACUCAUGGUGUAGGGGUGAAAUCCGUUGAUAUCAUGGGGAACACCAAAAGCGAAAGCAGUACACUAGCGCAUAUUUGACACUGAAACACGAAAGCGUGGGUAGCGAAUGGGAUUAGAUACCCCAGUAGUCCACGCCCUAAACGAUGAUCUCUCGCUAUUCGGAGUAUCGACCCUCUGAGUGGCUUAGCUAACGCGUUAAGAGAUCCGCCUGGGAAGUACGGCCGCAAGGCUAAAACUCAAAGGAAUAGACGGGGACUUGCACAAGCAGUGGAUUAUGUGGUUUAAUUCGAUGGUAAACGAAGAACCUUACCAAGGUUAGAAAUCCUAGUGAAAGCUCGCAGAAACGCGAGGCCUCGCAAGACUCUAGGACAGGUGAU
rnacentral:rRNA from 1 species